rnacentral:lncRNA from 1 species
GGCGACGAGAAAGAGGCGGCGACGAGAAAGAAGCAACGAGGAGACAUAGACGAGAUGGAGGCAGAGGUUUCAGUCGACGGAGGCGGAGAGAGAGAGCCGGUUACAGGAGGCAACCGGAAUCUUCGGUUUUGAGUUGAAGAAAUCUUUCUACGGAGGUUCUAAAUCCUUUUGCCUCUUCUCCGUAUUGAUUUUUUGGAUCCGUAGAUCUGCACACAAAAAAAGUAAAUUAGUGAUACAUAAAGUAAAGGAGAAAAAAUUAUGAUGGUGAAAAGUAAUGAUUUGAAAAAGAACGUAGAUUACAUAGAAAAAAGGAAGAAGUUGAACAUAC